GGACCUGGCCACACUAGUUGUACCUUGAAGCUCAGUGGCUGCCUCAGAAGGUAUUGUCCUACAGACAGCGGACACAAUGGGACUGAACAAAACCAACACAAAUGUUUAAUUCCCCCACGCAUUUAGGGAAUAGGACGAAAUCAGGCAUGAUCUCACAAUAUCAAACAGGCUGAUGGAAUAGGAGUGUAUUUUCAAUAAAUUGAAAAAAUUCACCAGUUCAUUAUUCUCUUUGGGUUUGCAUACCAUAGCCACUGGCUGGCCCUAUGGCAGAUGGCAACAGAGCACACUUCAUCCACCCCUACACAUUCAUAAUGGUUCUUUUAUAGGGGUGUGUGUGUGUGUGUGUGUGUGGCUGUGGGUGCGUACAUAUGUAUGCAGGCUGUUGUGUGUGUGUUGUGUGUGUGUGUGUGCGCGCAUGCAUGUGUGCGUUCAUAAUAUUGCCUUUAUGGGUGUGUGAGUGUGAGUGUGUGCACUUAUAAUGGCAGUCUUUAUGGCUAAUAGCAGUGCCACUGGGCUCCGCGGACAUUAAAAAAGAGCCUGGCUGACCCCAGGAUAAACACAGGCUGGUAAAACUCAAUGUGUGUGUGGCUGUCUGUGUGGGUGUCUAUGUAUGUACAUAUGUAAUAUAUAUAUAUGUGUGUAGAAGGGAUGUGUAUUUGCGUAUGUGUGUGUGAGGGUGAUGUGGAGAGUGCCCUGCUGUUGCUGCCCACAGCCCACCAGGUCGCACAGCUAUUUCUGUCUCGACCUUUUAACACCCGCCUAUAAAAAUCCAACCGACAAUUCCAUUUUCUCCAGAGGAUCUGACGUUUUGCGUCCUUUGUAACCACCGGGAUUCUUUUCUUAGUCCCUGUCAUGAACGGCUGAAUGACGUGCGCGUUUGCUCUUGAAGAGGAAAACCUUUUGGACCUGGAUGUUGAUCAAAAUGCUCGAUUUCCUGAUAAACGAUUUGACCUUCAACAGCCUCGUACCCUCAUUACCUCCACCCGUCACAGCCAGAAGACAACUCUUUCUGAGAACUCUGGGGCGAAGGUUAAAGAAGUAUUAAAAAUUGGUGGCCAACGUCUGUCCUACCACAGACAUGAAGAACAACACCAGUUGUACUAUCUGUGGUGUGUUUCCUCUGGGCAACCUCAGGGAAAGAUGUGGGGGGCCUGGGAGAGGUUACUUUCGGAAGCCUGUUAAGUUCCCAACCCCAGGUACGAUUGUGACAGUGACACCUUCCUGAAUACGGGCCAAUUCCAGCCUGUUAAGAGGAUCAGUUUCCCAUUCCCGUCCUGACAUAAAUAACAACCAACCAAGUGCCACAGAGACCACAAGGCCGGGACGCCUCUAGUGCAAAGGUCACAGUUCAACAUGGUACACCAUGACUCUGCCACGCUGCAGAGCACCUCUAUCCUCCCACAGCACAGCCCUCUGACCCGAGCACCUAUAUCCUCCCACAGCACAGCCCUCUGACCCGAGCACCUAUAUCCUCCCACAGCACAGCCCUCUGACCAGAGCACCUCUAUCCUCCCACAGCACCGCCCUCUGACCAGAGCACCUCUAUCCUCCCACAGCACAGCCCUCUGACCAGAGCACCUCUAUCCUCCCACAGCACAGCCCUCUGACCAGAGCACCUCUAUCCUCCCACAGGACAGCCCUCUGACCAGAGCACCUCUAUCCUCCCACAGCACAGCCCUCUGACCAGAGCACCUCUAUCCUCCCACAGCACAGCCCUCUGACCAGAGCACCUCUAUCCUCCCACAGGACAGCCCUCUGACCAGAGCACCUCUAUCCUCCCACAGCACAGCCCUCUGACCAGAGCACCUCUAUCCUCCCACAGCACAGCCCUCUGACCAGAGCACCUCUAUCCUCCAACAGCACAGCCCUCUGACCAGAGCUCUCAGUUCCUGAAACCUGCUAGCUUUACGCCUGGAAAAUAAACAGGAUCAGAAUG